GCCUCUAUAGCUCAGUGGCAGAGCGUUGCACUUGUAAUCAUAGCGUCAAACACUAUAUUAUCAGUGAUAUGCAAAGGUCCCUAGUUCAAUCCUGGGUGGAGGCA